AGCUUUGUGCUACAAGCUGUUUCAGUUUAGCACUUCUCUAUUUUAUGCCUGUCUCUUUUCUCCUAUUUUAGAGCAAAUGUUGAAAAUAUUGCCAGUGUUUCUCCACUUACCCCUACAAAGCCAUAAGACUAGGAAUUGCUCAACCACCGUGGAGCCUGGAACACGAGUGCUCUCCAGUACGUAACCUGUGAAGUUGCACUGCAGCUAUCAUGAGAAAUGAAACAAUGCUCUUCAUCCUGGUUCCUGGAAAAAGACAGAAAUAUGGUAUUUCACCAGAAAAGUCUGUCCAAGUAGGAACUGCAAGGCGACUGCCCUGCCUGGGGAAAGAAAUUGGCAGCAGCUGUAAGUUCCUGUUGACCAUAAAAGCAACUAUUUGCAGAGAAGGGGAUGCAGAGGCUAUGGCUGCUACCUCCCAGUGCCCACGACAGCUAUGUCUAGCCAUAGCAGCAGCAUCCUGCAGGUUCAUCUGCUGACUGCCUCCUUAUUCUUGUGCAUCACGGCUGAGAUACUUCAGAGUCCUUGCCCUCAUGUUACUGAAAUGCUGAGCUUGGUUUCUUUGCUCAGUGAGUCAGAUCAGCUUCAGAGGCAGAAACAGUGAAAUAUACAUACUGCUUUGCAUUUUUAAUGCUUAUAAAUAGGCAUUUACCAAAUGGGCAGGGAGCCUUUAAGCAGCAGAACAAAUGUUAUAGCUUUAUGACUAAUCGUUGCAACAAAUUCUUACUGUGGAGUUCUGAUUAAUAAACCAUUACUUUCCACUUG
rnacentral:lncRNA from 7 species